rnacentral:rRNA from 1 species
UACGAAGGGGGCUAGCGUUGUUCGGAAUCACUGGGCGUAAAGCGCACGUAGGCGGACUUUCAAGUCAGGGGUGAAAUCCCGGGGCUCAACCUCGGAAUUGCCUUUGAUACUGUAAGUCUCGAGUCCGGAAGAGGUGGGUGGAAUUCCUAGUGUAGAGGUGAAAUUCGUAGAUAUUAGGAAGAACACCGGUGGCGAAGGCGGCCCACUGGUCCGGUACUGACGCUGAGGUGCGAAAGCGUGGGGAGCAAACAGG